rnacentral:tRNA from 1 species
GGGGCUGUGGCUCAGAGGUAGAGCACUUGCCUGGCAUGUGUGAGGCACUGGGUUCGAUCCUCAGCACCA